rnacentral:rRNA from 1 species
CCUACGGGAGGCAGCAGUGGGGAAUAUUGCACAAUGGGCGGAAGCCUGAUGCAGCGACGCCGCGUGAGGGAUGAAGGCCUUCGGGUUGUAAACCUCUUUCAGCAGGGACGAAGCGUGAGUGACGGUACCUGCAGAAGAAGCACCGGCUAACUACGUGCCAGCAGCCGCGGUAAUACGUAGGGUGCGAGCGUUGUCCGGAAUUACUGGGCGUAAAGAGUUCGUAGGCGGUUUGUCGCGUCGUUUGUGAAAACCCGGGGCUCAACUUCGGGCUUGCAGGCGAUACGGGCAGACUUGAGUGUUUCAGGGGAGACUGGAAUUCCUGGUGUAGCGGUGAAAUGCGCAGAUAUCAGGAGGAACACCGGUGGCGAAGGCGGGUCUCUGGGAAACAACUGGCGCUGAGGAACGAAAGCGUGGGUAGCAAACAGGAUUAGAUACCCUGGUAGUCCACGCCGUAAACGGUGGGCGCUAGGUGUGGGUUCCUUCCACGGGAUCUGUGCCGUAGCUAACGCAUUAAGCGCCCGCCUGGGGAGUACGGCCGCAAGGCUAAAACUCAAAGGAAUUGACGG